rnacentral:rRNA from 1 species
AUGGUGGCCGAGGCGGAGGUGAUGCAUCAGCAGCCGGCGCCCGUUCUGGAGGUGCAGUACCGCCGGUGCGUCGCCAAGGGGGCCGGGAUGUCGGCGGUCGCCGUGCCGGAGGUGGAGGUGGAGGUCGCCGUCGAGCUGCCUCGCAUGGGAUUGGCGAACACCGAUGGUGCGACGAGUGUGUCCGCUGAGACACUACAGUUUGUACCCAAUAUUCGGUCUGGAAGCUUUGCUGAUAUCGGACCUAGGAGGUACAUGGAAGAUGAACACAUCCGGAUAGAUGAUCUUUCAGCUCAUCUUGGCUCGCUGUUGGUGUGCCCACUACCUAGUGCCUUCUAUGGGGUCUUUGAUGGCCAUGGGGGUCCGGAUGCUGCAGCCUACAUGAAAAGGCAUGCCAUGAGGUUCCUGUUUGAGGAUAGAGAGUUCCCACAAGCAUUGCAAGUGGAUGAUGUAUUCCUUCAGUCCGUCGAGGAAUGCAUUCGCAGCGCGUUCUUGCAAGCCGAUCUUGCUCUGGCAGAUAAUUUAGACAUCAGCCGCUCCUCCGGAACUACCGCACUCGCAGCAUUAGUAUUUGGGAGGCAACUGUUGGUUGCGAACACCGGUGACUGCCGAGCGGUCCUUUGCCGGAGAGGCAUAGCGAUGGAGAUGUCUCGGGACCACAGGGCAAACUACGCCGAGGAGUGCGAGAGGGUGGCCGCCUCCGGCGGAUACAUCGAGGACGGGUACCUCAACGGGGUGCUCUCGUUGACGCGUGCCCUAGGCGACUGGGACAUGAAGGUGCCCGACUGCUCCACGUCGCCCCUCAUCGCGGAGCCCGAGUUCCAGCAGGCGACGCUGAGCGAGGACGACGAGUUCCUCAUCAUGGGCUGCGACGGCAUCUGGGACGUGAUGACGAGCCAGCACGCGGUGAGCGUGGUCCGGCGGGGCCUGCGGCAGCACGACGACCCCGAGCGGUGCGCGCGGGAGCUCGUCAUGGAGGCGAAGCGGCUCGAGACGGCCGACAACCUGACCGUCAUCGUGGUGUGCUUCGGGUCGGAGCUCGGGUCACCGCCGCCGCCCCCCGCUGCCGCGGCGGCGAGGCCGAGGAGCUGCAAGGGCCUGUCGGCGGAGGCCCUGUGCAACCUGAGGAGCUGGCUGGAGACUGACCGCUAG